rnacentral:misc_RNA from 1 species
GUAACUGUAGCUGUCUCUGCACCUGUUGCAUUCAAAAUAGCAUGCUUUGUAAGACUUAUGCUGACAUAUUUCAGCACAGUUACAUCCCACAAAUAAGAACCAAAAAGACCAAUUUGCAUUUGCAUACAGUUAUUCAGUUUCGACAAUUUCCCAAGCCAAAAAAGAAAAUAUUGUAUCACUUCUUUUAGAAAACAAAUUGAUUUAUCUAUUUUGAUUUCAUAAGACAAAUCUACAACAACAAUUAAAAAGAUAUUACCAUUUGGAAAAUUAUACGGGUGAGUUCCAAACAAACCAGGAGGGAAUAACAAAAAAAUCUUUCCCAUCCACUGAUUUGAUAUUUUAGUUAUAUCCUUGUUAAUCAUGUAAUAUGCUAAACAAUAUCACAAAAGUGAGACAUUGAGAAGGAAAAUUUGCACACUCAAAAGCUAAUAUGACAUUAUGAUCUCCUUUCAGACAGGAAAAUGAGCAAUGAAAAUGGAAAGUAAGAAUAUGUAGUUAACCAUAGGGCAGUGAUAAGGAUUUUUUGUAUUGAUAAGGUUUUGAUGAAUUGGAUCCACUAUUAUUUAUGAUAUAACCAAGGCAUUGUCCUCAUUUUCAGUUUCAUCUUUUAAUGCAGAAAGUUUACAAAUUUUCCAUAAAAGAUCAUCUUUAAAAAAUAAAACAAUGGUAGAAGAAGAAAGGACAAGAAUCUCUAUAACCAAGAAAACAACAAAUGAUUGAGGAAAAUUCAUACCUGCAGUCCUGCACUAAGUGUAUAGCCCCACAUAUCAUCUUUGUGCAGAUUUUGCUUUUCCUUGAGAAAACCAGACAAAAAUCGGACAAAAGGUUGAGAUGGCAAAAGCUUAUUGGUUUAGUGUAUAUGUGGGGCCAUACACCAAGUGUAGGUAAGAAUUUUCCAAGCAUUCAAAUAUCAUUUAGAGAAAAGGAAGAACCAAAAUUGUACUAUUAAUGUUGUUAAUUUACUAUAUAUACCUGAACUUUCAACUGAUCAUCACUAAUCUUUUUCUCCUCAUUCAUGCAGGGUCUAUAAAUUCAACUGAUAAUAAUAACCAUACUAUUAAAAGAAAAACCUAAAAAUAAAACUAAUUUAGUGGAUACUAAAUUGCAAAGAAAAACCAUGCCUCCAAUUGCUCAUGCAGUCGCU